rnacentral:tRNA from 1 species
ACUUUUAAUGGACAAUAGAUGUCCAA